AGGCAUUGAAAAGGAAAAAGAUGAAAUAUAUGUUUAUAUAUAACUCUGUUGCUGCAUACCUCAUUGAAGUCGAAAUGCAUUUAAUUGUUAUAUUUCCCUUCCUCCAUGAUCUCCGAUAGUGUUAAAGGAGAAGAAACUGAGGUAUCCAGAAAGAAAAAAGUAACUGGGACUGAGAAAAAGAAAGAGAACCGGGGAUUGAACUCAGGCCCUUAUGCUUGCCAGGG